rnacentral:rRNA from 1 species
GACGAACGCUGGCGGCGUGCUUAACACAUGCAAGUCGAACGGAAAGGCCCUGCUUUUGUGGGGUGCUCGAGUGGCGAACGGGUGAGUAACACGUGAGUAACCUGCCCUUGACUUUGGGAUAACUUCAGGAAACUGGGGCUAAUACCGGAUAGGAGCUCCUGCUGCAUGGUGGGGGUUGGAAAGUUUCGGCGGUUGGGGAUGGACUCGCGGCUUAUCAGCUUGUUGGUGGGGUAGUGGCUUACCAAGGCUUUGACGGGUAGCCGGCCUGAGAGGGUGACCGGCCACAUUGGGACUGAGAUACGGCCCAGACUCCUACGGGAGGCAGCAGUGGGGAAUAUUGCACAAUGGGCGGAAGCCUGAUGCAGCAACGCCGCGUGCGGGAUGACGGCCUUCGGGUUGUAAACCGCUUUCGCCUGUGACGAAGCGUGAGUGACGGUAAUGGGUAAAGAAGCACCGGCUAACUACGUGCCAGCAGCCGCGGUGAUACGUAGGGUGCGAGCGUUGUCCGGAUUUAUUGGGCGUAAAGGGCUCGUAGGUGGUUGAUCGCGUCGGAAGUGUAAUCUUGGGGCUUAACCCUGAGCGUGCUUUCGAUACGGGUUGACUUGAGGAAGGUAGGGGAGAAUGGAAUUCCUGGUGGAGCGGUGGAAUGCGCAGAUAUCAGGAGGAACACCAGUGGCGAAGGCGGUUCUCUGGGCCUUUCCUGACGCUGAGGAGCGAAAGCGUGGGGAGCGAACAGGCUUAGAUACCCUGGUAGUCCACGCUGUAAACGGUGGGUACUAGGUGUGGGGUCCAUUCCACGGGUUCCGUGCCGUAGCUAACGCUUUAAGUACCCCGCCUGGGGAGUACGGCCGCAAGGCUAAAACUCAAAGGAAUUGACGGGGCCCCGCACAAGCGGCGGAGCAUGCGGAUUAAUUCGAUGCAACGCGUAGAACCUUACCUGGGUUUGACAUGGAUCGGGAGCGCUCAGAGAUGGGUGUGCCUCUUUUGGGGUCGGUUCACAGGUGGUGCAUGGCUGUCGUCAGCUCGUGUCGUGAGAUGUUGGGUUAAGUCCCGCAACGAGCGCAACCCUUGUUCACUGUUGCCAGCACGUUAUGGUGGGGACUCAGUGGAGACCGCCGGGGUCAACUCGGAGGAAGGUGGGGAUGACGUCAAGUCAUCAUGCCCCUUAUGUCCAGGGCUUCACGCAUGCUACAAUGGCUGGUACAGAGAGUGGCGAGCCUGUGAGGGUGAGCGAAUCUCGGAAAGCCGGUCUCAGUUCGGAUUGGGGUCUGCAACUCGACCUCAUGAAGUCGGAGUCGCUAGUAAUCGCAGAUCUGCAACGCUGCGGUGAAUACGUUCCCGGG